GACGAACGCUGGCGGCGUGCUUAACACAUGCAAGUCGAACGGUGAAGCAGAGCUUGCUCUGUGGAUCAGUGGCGAACGGGUGAGUAACACGUGAGUAACCUGCCCUUGACUCUGGGAUAAGCGUUGGAAACGACGUCUAAUACCGGAUACGAGCUGAGACCGCAUGGUCAUCAGUUGGAAAGAUUUUUUGGUCAAGGAUGGACUCGCGGCCUAUCAGCUUGUUGGUGAGGUAAUGGCUCACCAAGGCGACGACGGGUAGCCGGCCUGAGAGGGUGACCGGCCACACUGGGACUGAGACACGGCCCAGACUCCUACGGGAGGCAGCAGUGGGGAAUAUUGCACAAUGGGCGCAAGCCUGAUGCAGCAACGCCGCGUGAGGGAUGACGGCCUUCGGGUUGUAAACCUCUUUUAGUAGGGAAGAAGCGAAAGUGACGAUACCUGCAGAAAAAGCACCGGCUAACUACGUG
rnacentral:rRNA from 1 species